GACGAACGCUGGCGGCAUGCCUAAUACAUGCAAGUCGAGCGAACAGAUGAAGUGCUUGCACUUCUGACGUUAGCGGCGAACGGGUGAGUAACACGUAAGGAAUCUACCUAUAAGCGGGGGAUAACAUUCGGAAACGGGUGCUAAUACCGCAUAAUAUCUUCUUCCGCAUGGAAGAAGAUUGAAAGAUGGCUCUGCUGUCACUUAUAGAUGACCUUGCGGUGCAUUAGUUAGUUGGUGGGGUACCGGCCUACCAAGACGAUGAUGCAUAGCCGACCGGAGAGGGUGAUCGGCCACAUUGGGACUGAGACACGGCCCAAACUCCUACGGGAGGCAGCAGUAGGGAAGCUUCCGCAAUGGGCGAAAGCCUGACGGAGCAAUGCCGCGUGAGUGAAGAAGGCCUUCGGGUCGUAAAACUCUGUUAUAAGAGAAGAACAAAUUGUAGAGUAACUGCUACAGUCUUGACGGUAUCUUAUCAGAAAGCCACGGCUAACUACGUGCCAGCAGCCGCCGUAA
rnacentral:rRNA from 1 species